rnacentral:sRNA from 1 species
UUGACAACCCAGGAAACUAACAUCCUUCCUUUGUCAAUGGAACAGAUGUGUCAUGUAUAUCAGUAGUACAGGCUUCCCCACACUGCCCCACUCUUGUGCUUCAACCCUGUUCUUGAGAGGAUAGUUAAUUCUUCAUAUCGAUUUAAUUCUGCU